GAUGAACGCUGGCGGCGUGCCUAAUACAUGCAAGUCGAGCGAACAGACGAGGAGCUUGCUCCUCUGACGUUAGCGGCGGACGGGUGAGUAACACGUGGAUAGCCUACCUAUAAGACUGGGAUAACUUCGGGAAACCGGAGCUAAUACCGGAUAAUAUAUUGAACCGCAUGGUUCAAUAGUGAAAGACGGUUUUGCUGUCACUUAUAGAUGGAUCCGCGCCGCAUUAGCUAGUUGGUAAGGUAACGGCUUACCUAGGCAACGAUGCGUAGCCGACCUGAGAGGGUGAUCGGCCACACUGGAACUGAGACACGGUCCAGACUCCUACGGGAGGCAGCAGUAGGGAAUCUUCCGCAAUGGGCGAAAGCCUGACGGAGCAACGCCGCGUGAGUGAUGAAGGUCUUCGGAUCGUAAAACUCUGUUAUUAGGGAAGAACAAAUGUGUAAGUAACUAUGCACGUCUUGACGGUACCUAAUCAGAAAGCCACGGCUAACUACGUG
rnacentral:rRNA from 1 species